GACGAACGCUGGCGGCGUGCUUAACACAUGCAAGUCGAACGCUGAAGCUCAGCUUUUGUUGGGUGGAUGAGUGGCGAACGGGUGAGUAACACGUGAGUAACCUGCCCCCUUCUUUGGGAUAACGCCCGGAAACGGGUGCUAAUACUGGAUAUUCACUGGUCUUCGCAUGGGGGUUGGUGGAAAGGGUUUUUCUGGUGGGGGAUGGGCUCGCGGCCUGUUGGCUUGUUGGUGGGGUGAUGGCCUACCAAGGCUUUGACGGGUAGCCGGCCUGAGAGGGUGACCGGGCACAUAGGGACGGAGAUACGGCCCAGACUCCUACGGGAGGCAGCAGUGGGGAAUAUGGCACAAUGGGUGCAAGACUGAUGCAGCGACGCCGCGUGAGGGAUGGAGGCUGUCGGGUUGUGAACCUCUUUCGCUCAUGGUCAAGCCGCAACAAUGGUUGUGGUGAGGGUAGUGGGUAAAGAAGCGCCGGCUAACUACGUG
rnacentral:rRNA from 1 species